GACGAACGCUGGCGGCGUGCCUAAUACAUGCAAGUAGAACGCUGAAGAGAGGAGCUUGCUCUUCUUGGAUGAGUUGCGAACGGGUGAGUAACGCGUAGGUAACCUGCCUUGUAGCGGGGGAUAACUAUUGGAAACGAUAGCUAAUACCGCAUAACAAUGGAUGACACAUGUCAUUUAUUUGAAAGGGGCAAUUGCUCCACUACAAGAUGGACCUGCGUUGUAUUAGCUAGUAGGUGAGGUAAUGGCUCACCUAGGCGACGAUACAUAGCCGACCUGAGAGGGUGAUCGGCCACACUGGGACUGGGACACGGCCCAGACUCCUACGGGAGGCAGCAGUAGGGAAUCUUCGGCAAUGGGGGCAACCCUGACCGAGCAACGCCGCGUGAGUGAAGAAGGUUUUCGGAUCGUAAAGCUCGGUUGUAAGUCAAGAACGGGUGUGAGAGUGGAAAGUUCACACUGUGACGGUAGCUUAUCAGAAAGGGACGGCUAACUACGUG
rnacentral:rRNA from 1 species